ensembl:lincRNA Platr26 pluripotency associated transcript 26
UUUCAGAGAUGCAGUGACUCUGCCAGAUGCUUCAGUGUCUCCCAGGAGGCAGGUUUUGCAGUGCAUGGAGAGGAACCAGCUGGCAGAGAAAGCAGGUUCAAGCUCAAGCAGCAAUCAGAUCACGUAGAAUGACCACAGCCAAACGCACAAGCCCAUUUGAGAAGCAAGGGAAUGUCUUGUGUGAUCCCAGAAUCCCAGGUCCCGGGAAGACAGAAAUGUUGCUGAGACCCCGUGGCAGCUUGGGUCCAAGCAAGGCAAAGCUGCAGCCAACAGGGCUGCCAUCUUCUCACUCUCUAAAGGAAUGUGAGAGGGUGACCACCCUGCAACCCAGGGAAAUGGGUUCUUGUUCUAGCCUGGUGUUGGAGAAUCACUUUCUGCAUCUGGCCUGACACCAGCCAUCCACCGCCAGCAGCAAGGGAACCAGGAAAUCUCAUGGCCAGCCUGGCCAGCUAGCGAGUGGAAUAUGCAAAGGAGAUGACUCACAGCAGACCAGCACGGUCGGCCAUCAAGCAGAGGCCAAAUUGCCAUCUGUUUCAUCAAGUUCGUUGGUGGUUGCCGUAUUUAUGUCUGUGAUUUACGUCUAGGUGUCACCAUGAGCCUUGGCAGAUUUGGGAGACUACUAAAUGUAUGAUUUGUCGAUA